UUAUUACGUGUUAUUUAGAAGAGAGAUUAUGGUAAUGGUUUAGCGCGAAUAAUGCACGGGUUUUGUGUGCAUGUUUUAGCGCGAAAGCGCACGAGUUUUUCGUUUUGGGGUAUAUAUGAUUUGCACAUCUAUUGAGUCGCCAUUCGAGGGUGUAUUUGACAGGCAAACGUUAUGGAACAAGAAAACGAAAGGGUGAUAAAGUAGUUUAGGCGUUCAUUUGCGAAAUACAUAGUAUUCGGAAGGAGAUUUUCGAUGAGAGGACUGAUUCUCUGCUAGAAGCGGAAUGGUGAGCUGGAACUUCGAACAAAGGUCAGACUUGUUGGUUCUGUUUAUUGUAAUAACACUGGCAACAACAUUCCGAUUGAAAUUAACACAGGUUGUGUUCCUUGUUAACUUUUAUGAUAAGUAUAUUCAAUAACAUGCUCCAUAUCUUUAUUUGUGCUGUUGUUUUUGUUUAGUUCCAACUAUUCAGAUACAUCAAUUGAUUUGAUUAUUGGGUAAAAAUGAAACUAUUUAUGUUCAGAAAGAGGUCGCAAAUGUAAUGGUUUGGUAGGAUUAUAUAUAGGUAAGGCCACAUAGUGUGUCACUCCAGGUUGUUUUGAUAGCAGAGUUAGAUCACUCUCCCUCAUGUUUUUACGAAAACCUUGCUUUAUUGUUAUUGUUUUUAAGAUAUAACACCUUAUAUGGUCAUACAUGUGUUACAAGUUUGUGUAUUAGUUCCAAACGUAUAAUUCAACAAACGAUUAAUAACAAUUAACUGCCGUUUUCCUUAUAAUUCAGCACGAUGGUUGUGUGCGAUAUAUGACGUGGUAUGAUAAUGGGCGGAUGAAAAUUUAUGCGAACAUAUCUUUAAACUAUUCAGGUAUUCCAAUUGUGAAUUAAGAAUGUAACAUCAAAAAUCGAUACAUUACGGAAAUAUAUAUUCUAUUCAUCUAUGAAACAGCUAUAGAGACUUGUCUUGUAAACUUUUUUCGAAACAUGUUUGUGUUUUGCAUAUAUUACAUCUCGUUCGCUGGAUAUUGAAUAAACAGUUUAUAUGUUAUUGUUGUAUACAAUUAAAAAAAAAAAAAUUCUCUAAAUUGAAUUAAAACAUUAAGAGUUAUUAUAUUUUUCAUAAUAAUUUAAGACGUUAAGUUUUCCCUGCAAGGUUGGUGUCAAUAAUGGUGCAUGCAUAUGUGCUAAUCAAUUUACGAUAUUUUGGAUAAACUGUGGUAUAAAUUUGGUUUGAAAAGAGCGUUGACAAUAAGACUGUUGUUUUAAACUUAGAUGAAAGGCUUUUAUCGGUUUUGUUAAAUUUAGUUUCGUCAUAGUUAAAUGCAUUUUUAUAGAUUAGGUACUGUAAUGAUAACAAAAGUAGACCGGAUUUAUUUGCAAUAUAAGUCAUUUUGUUUUCGUGAUAGUUUUUGUUCUUGUUUGGUGGCCUGUUGGCUUGAUGUGUAAAGACAUUUUGCUUUUAUGGUGUUUGGCCGUUUUUUGAAUGCCAGUUAACAUGUGUAAUUUGCUUAUCGUUUUGGUGAAAGUCAGUUGACCAGAUGUGGAUAAACCCAGUUAGCGCGUGUAGUUUGUUAACCAAACUUGUUAAACGUGCGUUUACAUUAACAUUUUGGUUUUUAUUUAAUGUUAAGAUUGUACUGUUCGAAGGAUAUUAUAUAUAUUGGAGAACAUUACAUGUAUGUUAUUAAGGGCCAGAUUGGCUUAUGUAAAUUAACCGGUUGGCUCGGGUUGUCCGUUGACAGUUUGUUGAAAGCAGAUUUUUUCAGAUGCGUAUAAGCCAGUUUGCUUGCGUGUCAGUUCACUAAAAUGUCUCAAAACACAUGUUGAAAUUGCAUUUACACAUGUUUGCGAAGUUUAUUUUUUCAGAAGCUGGACAGUUCGAAGAAUAAAUAAUGAAUAGUGUAACAUUAUAGUAAGAGGGCAGCUCGAAAGUGCAGUAACUGGACAGUACGAAUGGUAUAUUAAGUAUUGGAGAACAUAAAGGUAUGGUUUAUGUAGUAUGUUAUUAUUAUUAUAAGGAUUAUGAUAUUUUUUUUUCCGUUUUAAUGUUUAUCAUUAAUUUUGUAAAUAUUGUUUUAUUAUAUCUGUUUAAUUCUCUUGUGCAUUAUUCGAUUGGUCAUUUGACCGUUUGUGAAGGCCAGAGUGUGCCUGAUGUUGAUUAGCCGUUUGGCUUGUGUGGUCAGUUGACCGUUUGUGAAGGCCAGAGUGUGCCUGAUGUUGAUUAGCCAGUUGGCUUGUGUGGUCAUUUGACCGUUUGUAAAGGCCAGAGUGUGCCUGAUGUUGAAAAGCCAGUUGGCUUGUGUGGUCAGUUGACCGUUGUUGAAGGCCAUAGUGUGCCUAUUUUGAUUGAAUUAUUGUUAUUGCUUUUACAAAUGUUUGUAAUUGUAUCUUUUCAGUUAAAACACAGUUCGAGAGGUAUAUAACGUGGUGGAGAAUAUUUGGGUAUUCAUUUUAUGUUUCAUAUUAUUUGUAUUCUCUCUUUGUUUUAUUCGAAAGUCCUGUCAAAUACAAGCACUCACUCCUA